rnacentral:rRNA from 1 species
UACGUAGGGGGCAAGCGUUGUCCGGAUUUACUGGGCGUAAAGAGCGUGUAGGCGCCAGACAGGUCCGUUGUGAAAACUGGAGGCUCAACCUUCAGACGUCGACGGAAACCGUCUGGCUAGAGUCCGGAAGAGGAGAGUGGAAUUCCUGGUGUAGCGGUGAAAUGCGCAGAUAUCAGGAAGAACACCGAUGGCGAAGGCAGCUCUCUGGGACGGUACUGACGCUGAGACGCGAAAGCGUGGGGAGCGAACAGG